rnacentral:rRNA from 1 species
AAGGGGUCGUAGCAGGGCUGGUAUGACCCUUGUGAAAUCGGUGGUAGUAGUGCCACGGGCGCGCAAGAGUUACUACCGGCCUAGGGGAUAGGGGAAGCCGAGGGUAUUCCCGGGGGAGCGGCGAAAUGCAGUAAUCCCUGGAAGACCACCUGAGGCGAAAGCGCUCGUCUACCCUACUCCCGACGGUGAGGACCGAAAGCUGGGGGAUCAAAAGGGAUUAGAGACCCCGGUAGUCCCAGCUGUCAACGCUGCGGGCUACCCUGUCGGGUGGACCUAGAGUCCACCCGGUGGGAAAGGGAAGGCGUUAAGCCCGCCGCCUGGGGAGUAGGGCCGCAAGGCUGAAACUUGAAGGAAUAGGCGGGGGGGCACACAA